UAGUCCCAACUACUCGGGUGGCUGAGGUGGGAGGAUCGCUUGGGGUCAGGAACUCCAGACCAGCCUGGCCAACAUGGUGAAACCCCAUCUCUACUAAAAUAUACAAAAGUUCACUAGUGUAGUGGCACGCACAUGUAAUUCCAGUUACUUGGGAGGCUGAGGCAUAGAAUCACUUGAACC